CCCCAGGUCAGGCGGGGCUACCCGCUGAGUUUAAGCAUAUCAAUAAGCGGAGGAAAAAA
rnacentral:rRNA from 1 species